rnacentral:rRNA from 1 species
AGCGAACGCUGGCGGCAGGCCUAACACAUGCAAGUCGAACGAACCUUUCGGGGUUAGUGGCGGACGGGUGAGUAACACGUGGGAACGUGCCUUUAGGUUCGGAAUAACUCAGGGAAACUUGUGCUAAUACCGAAUGUGCCCUUCGGGGGAAAGAUUUAUCGCCUUUAGAGCGGCCCGCGUCUGAUUAGCUAGUUGGUUGAGGUAAUGGCUCACCAAGGCGACGAUCAGUAGCUGGUCUGAGAGGAUGAUCAGCCACAUUGGGACUGAGACACGGCCCAAACUCCUACGGGAGGCAGCAGUGGGGAAUCUUGCGCAAUGGGCGAAAGCCUGACGCAGCCAUGCCGCGUGAAUGAUGAAGGUCUUAGGAUUGUAAAAUUCUUUCACCGGGGACGAUAAUGACGGUACCUGGAGAAGAAGCCCCGGCUAACUUCGUG